UGGGGAAUAUUGCACAAUGGGCGCAAGCCUGAUGCAGCCAUGCCGCGUGUGUGAAGAAGGCCUUCGGGUUGUAAAGCACUUUCAGCGAGGAGGAAGGUGGUGAACUUAAUACGUUCAUCAAUUGACGUUACUCGCAGAAGAAGCACCGGCUAACUCCGUGCCAGCAGCCGCGGUAAUACGGAGGGUGCAAGCGUUAAUCGGAAUUACUGGGCGUAAAGCGCACGCAGGCGGUUUGUUAAGUCAGAUGUGGAAUCCCCGGGCUCAACCUGGGAACUGCAUUUGAAACUGGCAAGCUAGAGUCUCGUAGAGGGGGGUAGAAUUCCAGGUGUAGCGGUGAAAUGCGUAGAGAUCUGGAGGAAUACCGGUGGCGAAGGCGGCCCCCCUGGGACGAAGACUGACGCUCAGGUGCGAAAGCGU
rnacentral:rRNA from 1 species